AAACCAACAGGGAUUGCCCCAGUAACGGCGAGUGAAGCGGCAAGAGCUCAAAUUUGAAAUCUGGCCUCCCCCGGGGGCCCGAGUUGUAAUUUGCAGAGGAUGCUUCGGGUGCGGCCGCCGUCUAAGUUCCUUGGAACAGGACGUCAGAGAGGGUGAGAAUCCCGUCUUGGGCGGGCGGACCGCGCCCGUGUGAAGCUCCUUCGACGAGUCGAGUUGUUUGGGAAUGCAGCUCUAAGCGGGUGGUAAAUUUCAUCUAAAGCUAAAUACUGGCCGGAGACCGAUAGCGCACAAGUAGAGUGAUCGAAAGGUUAAAAGCACCUUGAAAAGGGAGUUAAACAGCACGUGAAAUUGUUGAAAGGGAAGCGCUUGCGGCCAGACUCGGGGGCGGGGUUCAGCGGGUGCUCGUCGCCCGUGUACUCCCCGUCUCCCGGGCCAGCAUCAGUUUCGACGGCCGGUCAAAGGCCCCCGGAAUGUGUCGUCUCUCGGGACGUCUUAUAGCCGGGGGUGCAAUGCGGCCCGUCGGGACUGAGGAACGCGCUCCGGCUCGGAUGCUGGCGUAAUGGCCGUAAGCGGC
rnacentral:rRNA from 1 species